GACGAACGCUGGCGGCGUGCUUAACACAUGCAAGUCACGGGGGCCCGCAAGGGCAACCGGCGAACGGGUGCGUAACACGUGAACAACCUGCCCUCGUGUGGGGGAUAGCCAUGCUAACGCGUGGGUAAUACCGCAUACGGUUCUCUGGAGGAGUCUCUGGGGAAAGAAAGCUCAGGCGCACGGGGAGGGGUUCGCGGCCUAUCAGCUAGUUGGCGAGGUAACGGCUCACCAAGGCGACGACGGGAGCUGGUCUGAGAGGAUGGCCAGCCACAUUGGGACUGAGAGACGG
rnacentral:rRNA from 1 species